CCCUGGGAGAAGGGAAAGAGUAUCCACUCCAAUAUUCUUGCUUGGAGAAUUCCAUGGACAGAGGAGUGUGGCAGGCUACCGUCCAUUGGGUCAGAAAGAGUUGGACAUGACUGACCAACUAACACUUUCAUUUUUGGCUUCCCAGGUGGCACAGUGGUGAAGAAUCCGCUUGCCAAUGCAUGAGAUGCUGAAGCUCCAAUACUAUGGUCACCUGAUGUGAAGAGCUGGCCCAUUGGAAAAGACCCUGAUGCUGGGAAAAAUUGAAGACAAAAGGAAAAGAGGGCAGCAGAAGAUGAGAUGGUUAGAUAACAUCACCAUCUCAAUGAACAUGAAUUUGAGCAAACUGCGAGAGACAGUGGAGGACAGGGGAGCCUGGGGCGCUGCAGUCUGUGGGGUUGCAAAGAGCUGGACACGACUGAACGGCAACAGCUCUGUUUUCUUGUAGGAUGGUUAGUAUAAAUAAGUGAUAAUGGAAGUGAAAGGAAUAUGAUAUUACAAAAUUUGGUAGAGACAUUGAAUCAUUAUCACAGUCUUCAUAGGUUCUCUGAAUAUUAUCAGAUUACUAAACACAUAGUUGUUAUCAUAAAACAUUCACAAUCUGGUAUGUGAGGGAGAGCUUGUUAUCACUACUAUUUCGUGGAAGAGAGAAUUGAGAUUCAGAGAGAUCAGGGACUACUUCUCUGCCUGAAGUUACGAAGAAUGAAAUAGGCAUUCCAUGUAAGGAAAACACAUUGGCUCUGGAGGACAAAGACUUGCAUUUGAGGGCCACCUCUCAUGAGUAUUAGCUGGGUUAAAUCUGCCCUUCUGUGCUGUCAAAUUGAUUUUACUCCUGUCCUUAGAACUAAUGAGAAAAUAUCAGCUAAGAGCAGUAAUGUGCUGCAGCUGCAGGAAACUGAUAUAUCACCCCAAGUCACCUUCAGGCUGGCAGAGGGCAGCUCCUGAGUUUCUCAUCCAUGUUCUGCACCCACCAUCAAUUCCCAUUCAUUCAUUCAUGUGCAUGGCUGUGGUAGACAUGUCACAAGAAAUACAAGCCCAAGUCACAUUCUCAAGUUCACUUCAACAUGAGGAAACAAGAAAUUCACAUCAAGAGAUGGAUUAAAUAAGAUGAGAUGGGUCCUCAACAGUUCCUGAAAUGAUCUUACACAUUUGUUUAUUUGUUGAGAGUUGGCCUUCUUGACCUUGGCAUUGACAUUUUGGGGCCAAUCGUUCUUUGCUAUGGGACUGUCCUGUGAGGUCUGGUGUUUAGCAGAGGCCCUGGACUCUACCCACCAGAUGCCAGUCACAUCCUUCCAGGCACAACAAUAAAGUCUGUUGCCAGAUGUUCCCUGACAGGGGAGAAUCACCCCUAGUUGAGAAGUGCUGUCUCAUCAUCCUUCUUGCUUUCUGUCAUUUCUCCAGCCCCAAGAACAGUGUGCUUAGCUUAGACAGUGUAUUAAAAAGCAGAGAUGUCACUUUGCCAACAAAGGUCCAUAUAGUCAAAGCUAUGGUUUUUCCAGUAGCCAUGUAUGGACCUCCCUGGUAGCUCAGACAGUAAAGCAUCUGCCUACAAUGUGGGAGACCCUGGUUCAAUCCCUGGGUCAGGAAGAUCUCCUGGAGAUGAAAUAGCAACCCACUCUAGUACUCUUGCCUGGAAAAUCCCAAGGAUGGAGAAGCCUGGUAGGCUACAGCCCAUGGGGUUGCAAAGAGUUGGACACGACUGAGUGAUUUCACUUCACUAUGUAUGAAUGUGAGAGUUGGACCAUAAAGAAGCCUGAGUGCUGAAGAAUUGGUGGUUUUGAACUGUGGUGCUGGAGAAGACUCUUGAGAGUUCCUUGGGCUGCAAAGACAUCAAACUAGUAAAUACUAAAGGAAAUCAACCCUGAAUAUUCAUUGGAAGGAUGGAUGCUGAAGCUGCAGCUCCGAUAUUUUGGCCACUUGAUGUGAAGAGCCAGUUCUUUGGAAAAGACCCUGAUGCUGGGAAAGAUUGAAGGCAGGAGGAGAAGGGGAUGACAGAGGAUGAGAUUGUUGGAUGGCAUCACCAGCUCAAUGGACAUGAGUUUGAGCAAACUUUGGGAGAUACUGAAGGACAGGGAAGCCUGGCGUGCUACAGUCAUGGGGUUGGCAGUGUUGGACAUGACUUAGCAACUGAACAAUCACAACAUUUAGUGAGCACUUUGUAAAUGUGGGUUGACAAGCUGGCUGGAGAGGGGCUACAGAGUGAGGUUUGCUAUUUUGUGGGAACUCAGAGCAAAGGUGUCCCAUCUCUGAGCUCAGUUGGGUGCUCUUUGAUGACUUAGAGAGGUG
ensembl:lincRNA